UCCGGGCCACGGGGCUGCAGGGAGCGUCCUCAAAUCUCCGCCCCGGGGCUUCUCCCGCUGCGCAGCCGGACGCGACCUUCGCACCCGCCGCCGCGGCUGAAGUUAUUUAUCAAUCCGAGGAGGAGGCGGGUGGAAGCGGCAGGUCCAGCUCCGCCUCGCACGCCGCUCCCAGCGCAGAACAUGGGGCGUGAGCAAGCCUUGAACCACAUUCACUUGUCCAGUUCACUGCAGGAACUGGGAAGAUCAAAGGAACUAGAAAGGAGUGGAAAUCAAUAGGACUAAGGGUUGUCUACACGGUGGAGACUAUAUCAGCCUAAUCCUGUACUGUAGAUACAACCUACAUGGACGGAAGGCGUUUUUCAGUCAGUGUAGGACCACUUCCCUGAGCAACAGUAGCCAUGUGGAUGGAAGCAUUCCUCCAUCAACAUAGUUGCAUCUACCAGGGCCUAGCUACAGCCGUCAGCCACCCAAGAACAACCCCACUCAACCUGUCGGGUCUGGACUGGGAUGGCUAGCCCAAGACUCUGUAACAUUCACAUUUUCUAGCAUGCUCAGUAUUGGCUUUACAAUGGUGCCAAUGGCACCAUGGCACUGGGCCCUCACGCAGAAGGGGCCCUGCUCCCCCCGCACUCUGCCCCUGAGGCCCUGCCCAUCGCUCACUCCUCUGCCCCCUACCCUCCAUGUGAGUGGCAGGGGGGGCCUUGGGGGCAGAGAGGAGCAAGCAGUGAGCAGGGCCUCAGGGGCAGAGUGCAGGGCCAGGGCCAUGGUCUGGGGGCCAGGGCCCACAAAAGGUUAAUCCAGCCCUGAGCAUGCUAGCUUGAGCAGAGCUAGCAUGUGUCUAUCAACCUGGGCUGGGAGGCAUGCCCCCAGCUGCAGUGUAGACAUACCCUUAGAAGUCUGCUAUUCAUGAUGAGAAUAAGCCAGUGUGUGGUGAUACAUUCUAUCAGCUCUUCUCUAGUGAUCCAGGGGGUUCUGCACAAGCUAAGCACUUAUAUUAAAAACAAGAGUGAGAAAGUUUCCAGCCCUUUUGGUUACAAAAAAUUCUAAAGCUAACCCAAUACUGCAGAAACAACAUCUCUCCCCAAAUGAAUGGAAGACCUGGUCUACACUAGGGGGGAGGAUCGAUCUAAGAUACGCAACUUCAGCUAUGAGAAUAGCGUAGCUGAAGUCGACGUAUCUUAGAUCGACUUAGAAUCACUUACUU